UGGAAAACUUUAAGGCGAUCUACCCGGAAGUAGAAGCUUCAACCAAGAAACAGUCUUCUUACGUAGUAGAAGACUCGUGAGAGUAUCUAAACACAAAUAAUGUUUGUGUUCGACUAGUUUGGCAGAAGAAAGUGUAUCCAAAUUUGAGAAAAUAUGGUGGAGUUAAAAGAACAUUUGAAAGAAGACAUUGUUUUUGUAUUGGCACCUGAAUCAGAGGGGAAUUAACUGUUUGAUGGUGGUUCUUGCACCUGUGCAAGAACUGAAGGCCCACAAGAAUACUGACAGGUUGUCUGUGAAUGGAAUUCUACCUGACAGCACAAAUUGGGCGAAUAUAUUGAGGCUGAGAAACACAUGAAUAAAUUAAGAAAAUGAAAUGCUCUUGACGGAACUCCGCAAAAUCAUCGCAAAAAUGUGACAAAAAGAAUGAAUUAGGUAGUUCAAAUGAAGCCAAGUAGUUUAUCGUGCGUGCGCCACUUACUUUGUCUUCAUUUGAACUACCCGGCUCAGCUUCUUCGUCAUAACUUUCGUCCGUUUCAACUUGUUCCCCAUUCGCUAUUGCUCAUGAACGCCCGUGUUUUGCCUUUCUGACACAUUUCCCGAAAAAGUGUACAAAUUUGGAUAACUGGUAGACGGUCAGGACGAUGUGAUGGCUAUGACCACCAUCGUGAACUGUGAUCUCAAAAUGGCGUCUGUUCUGGAGCAGGUUUUCGUUCGUGCGCUUGCUCAGGCGUUGGAUUUCCCUACUAUUACCAGGAUGUUGUAUUGUAAGAAAAGCUACAGGCGAUUAAUCCACUUCAGGUUGUUGAACCGAAGUGCAUCUGUGUCCGAGGAGUGCAGUACAACAUGAACACGGAAAUUCAUUAAGAAAAAAAAACAGUUUUCAGUCAAAAAAUUGAUUGUCUUAGGAUUUGAACUUCAUAGAACUUUUUUUUUCUUUCUUUUUCUUUAUAUAGUAUUAAACAGGUAACCGCUGGACACCAAGAUGGAAAAAUCACCACUCAUGAUUGCCCUUUGGAAAACAAAUGCAUUUACAUCCUGCAUUGGUACCUGCAUGUUGGUGAAAAUAUGUGGAGAAUGAUCAAAACAAAAUUAUGAAAUUGAAGAAAAUUAUGAUUUUGAAAAAAAAAUUAUUUUUUCAUUAAGCUUCAUCUCAGUAGCUGCAAACAACUUCUGUAGUUUUCAAUUUUUCAGGAUACUAACACAACUAGGGGAAGAGUUAAAAAUUCAUAUGCCAAUCUAUCUGGCUAACUCUAGCUUAAUUUCUCGUUUCAGCCCCAAAUUUUGAAGCAAUUGCGAAUGUCUGAUCUGU